AUGCCCUUCACUUAUCUUUUUGUAUCUUUUGGUUGGUUCUUUGUACCCGCCUUCAUUUAUCUGCCAUUUUUUUACAAUGGAUACUCCUCCACCGUAAUGUGUUCUGUUUUGAGUUCAUUUCAUAUCUUUAUUCUUCAGUCUUUUUCAUUGAUCAUUUUAGUAUUCUUUGGUCUUCAUUUUGUUAUUAUCUUUUUCUUUUCAUUUCCUUCAGUCUUUGGUUUGUUCUUCAGUUACUUUAUUCAGCUUAUAAAUUUUAUUUCUUCAAACAUUAGAGCUCUGUGUGCUUCUCAUUCUAGAGAUGCUUGCUAUGAAAUCUGGAGUGGAAGCUCCUCAGUUUGA
rnacentral:rRNA from 1 species